rnacentral:rRNA from 1 species
UGGGCAAUCUGCCCUUCACUCUGGGACAAGCCCUGGAAACGGGGUCUAAUACCGGAUAACACUCUGUCCUGCAUGGGACGGGGUUAAAAGCUCCGGCGGUGAAGGAUGAGCCCGCGGCCUAUCAGCUUGUUGGUGGGGUAAUGGUCUACCAAGGCGACGACGGGUAGCCGGCCUGAGAGGGUGACCGGCCACACUGGGACUGAGACACGACCCAGACUCCUACGGGAGGCAG